rnacentral:rRNA from 2 species
AGAGUUUGAUCAUGGCUCAGAUUGAACGCUGGCGGCAGGCCUAACACAUGCAAGUCGAGCGGUAGCACAGAGAGCUUGCUCUCGGGUGACGAGCGGCGGACGGGUGAGUAAUGUCUGGGAAACUGCCUGAUGGAGGGGGAUAACUACUGGAAACGGUAGCUAAUACCGCAUAAUGUCGCAAGACCAAAGUGGGGGACCUUCGGGCCUCAUGCCAUCAGAUGUGCCCAGAUGGGAUUAGCUAGUAGGUGGGGUAACGGCUCACCUAGGCGACGAUCCCUAGCUGGUCUGAGAGGAUGACCAGCCACACUGGAACUGAGACACGGUCCAGACUCCUACGGGAGGCAGCAGUGGGGAAUAUUGCACAAUGGGCGCAAGCCUGAUGCAGCCAUGCCGCGUGUAUGAAGAAGGCCUUCGGGUUGUAAAGUACUUUCAGCGGGGAGGAAGGCGAUAAGGUUAAUAACCUUGUCGAUUGACGUUACCCGCAGAAGAAGCACCGGCUAACUCCGUGCCAGCAGCCGCGGUAAUACGGAGGGUGCAAGCGUUAAUCGGAAUUACUGGGCGUAAAGCGCACGCAGGCGGUCUGUCAAGUCGGAUGUGAAAUCCCCGGGCUCAACCUGGGAACUGCAUUCGAAACUGGCAGGCUAGAGUCUUGUAGAGGGGGGUAGAAUUCCAGGUGUAGCGGUGAAAUGCGUAGAGAUCUGGAGGAAUACCGGUGGCGAAGGCGGCCCCCUGGACAAAGACUGACGCUCAGGUGCGAAAGCGUGGGGAGCAAACAGGAUUAGAUACCCUGGUAGUCCACGCCGUAAACGAUGUCGAUUUGGAGGUUGUGCCCUUGAGGCGUGGCUUCCGGAGCUAACGCGUUAAAUCGACCGCCUGGGGAGUACGGCCGCAAGGUUAAAACUCAAAUGAAUUGACGGGGGCCCGCACAAGCGGUGGAGCAUGUGGUUUAAUUCGAUGCAACGCGAAGAACCUUACCUGGUCUUGACAUCCACAGAACUUAGCAGAGAUGCUUUGGUGCCUUCGGGAACUGUGAGACAGGUGCUGCAUGGCUGUCGUCAGCUCGUGUUGUGAAAUGUUGGGUUAAGUCCCGCAACGAGCGCAACCCUUAUCCUUUGUUGCCAGCGGUUAGGCCGGGAACUCAAAGGAGACUGCCAGUGAUAAACUGGAGGAAGGUGGGGAUGACGUCAAGUCAUCAUGGCCCUUACGACCAGGGCUACACACGUGCUACAAUGGCAUAUACAAAGAGAAGCGACCUCGCGAGAGCAAGCGGACCUCAUAAAGUAUGUCGUAGUCCGGAUUGGAGUCUGCAACUCGACUCCAUGAAGUCGGAAUCGCUAGUAAUCGUAGAUCAGAAUGCUACGGUGAAUACGUUCCCGGGCCUUGUACACACCGCCCGUCACACCAUGGGAGUGGGUUGCAAAAGAAGUAGGUAGCUUAACCUUCGGGAGGGCGCUUACCACUUUGUGAUUCAUGACUGGGGUGAAGUCGUAACAAGGUAACCGUAGGGGAACCUGCGGUUGGAUCACCU